rnacentral:lncRNA from 1 species
UCAGCAUCAACCAGUAACCUAUAUGAGCUAGCACAUACAGCACACUUAGUAAACCCCCAGAAUUUGUCUAGUAGACUGGCCUUCCCCCAGUUUACAGCACGAGAGAAAUCAGAAUCUAGGGAUGGUAGCGGUGGACUGGUAUUGAGAAGAGAAACAUACCAAUGAUUAUUAAUUAAAAAAAAAAAAAGCAAAACACUGAUAGUAAUAGGGUUUUUUUGGGGGGGGAUGGAAGGUGGAGGGUUCCUUUGUUUUGCUGCUGCUAUUUUUGUUUUUGUUUUGAAUCCGAGAGCCUCUCCGCUGUCUUUUGCUGAAUGCGGGUCCGGUUUAUCCUUUCUUUCUUGUCUGUGGCCUUGCUCCGUGGUCCUUCCAAGUUGGAGGAAAAGUCAUGCCGCGUCAACAGCAAGCGGUUUUCCAGGGUCCACCUCUUAUCAACAUCUAGGAGCUAAGAGGUUUUGCUGAAACUUCCCAGUGGUUGUUGGUGAAAAGUGGGACAGCAGAAGAGCACAAAGUCAAGCUGUUAAUAAGGUUGGAAUAAUGUGCUAAAGGAAAGGGCUUGUCUAUAAGUCCAGAGCGCUUUUGAGGCCCCGGGAAAGUUAAAAUCAGAAGAUCUUGCCUGGGCCAAGUGUUCCUUUGCAACCUGUAGAUGUCGAGAUUCCAGAGCAUCGAAUGAGCAGCUAGCAAAGUCUUCUUUAACCUCUCCCUCCUCCUUAUACACACACACACACACCACACACACACACACACACACACACACACCCCUUCGCCCUCUGCAUUAUGUCUUAUGUUCUGUGAUAGUGGACCGUCUGAGGUUGAAUCACUUUCCCUCCAAGUCUUUCCUGUGAAUGAACCCGAAAACACUCGACAGAUCGUAAAUAAUCGUUUUAAUGAGUGUGCAAAGCGUGCGACGGGGUGUACCGAGCUGUCGGGUUAAACAAACAACUUGUACCCUGACAAAAUCCGAUUGUUAAAGUGCAAAGUGGUGUCAGUACAAUUUUUAUCACCAUUUGGGAAACCACAGAUCUGACACCCUGAAGUCCAAUUUUCCCCAUUAAAGAAAAAUAACAAUAUUUUAUGAGUGUGAGUGUGAUCUUCUUUAAUGUUAGCCAUGGCUCAACUGGAACCGGUAUUUUCUAGGUAGGAAGGUACUAGUGUUAGGUUUUAUUCCCUCUUCCCCCACCUCCGCUGAAGAAAAAGAAAAAGUAAAAAUCUUGUAGGAACAAUAUUUAUUUUUUAACACCUUACUUGAUAUUUUCAAAUCACU